rnacentral:rRNA from 1 species
CCCUUAGAUGUCCUGGGCCGCACGCGCGUUACACUGAUGCAUUCAACGAGCUUAUAACCUUGGCCGAGAGGCCUGGGCAAUCUUGUUAACGUGCAUCGUGAUAGGGAUAGAUUAUUGAAAUUAUUAAUCUUGAACGAGGAAUUCCUAGUAAACGCAGAUCAUCAAUCUGCAUUGAUUACUGCCCUGCCCUUUGUACACACCGCCCGUCGCACCUACCGAUUGGAUGGUCCGGUGAAGCCUCGGGAUUGUGGUUCUUGCCGCUUUAUUGUAGCGUGACCGCGAGAACUUGUCUAAACCUUAUCAUCUAGAGGAAGGUGAAGUCGUAACA